ACCUCACCAGAAAAAAACCGACAGAUGGAUUCAGCGGAGCUGCAGCUACGUCUAGCCCGACAGGAGUAACGAAUCGAUGAAGUCUGCGACCUCCUUCGCCAGUCCAUUCCUGCUUCAUCGAUAUCAGGCGCACCUCGGCACACCCCCUCCAUUUGACGUCAGCGGUGCACCGGCUUAUUUCGUCCAAGCCCUCCUUGACUCCAAGCGCCUGGGUGGUCGCAUCCACUACCUGGUGGAUUGGGAGGGUUACGGACGCGAAGAACAGUCCUAGUUCCCCGCCCAGGACAUCCUCGACCCAGCCAUGAUCCUGGCUUUCCACUGUAAACGUCCGGACCGCCCAGCUCCAUGCCCCCUGCUCAGCUUCCUAGGCCGUCAAGAGCCGCCCGUGGAGGGGGGGGGUACUGUAACGUCUACUUCCAACUCACACUCCCAAACACGUAGAUCUCCUGAAAGCACCUCACUUUCCAGCCCACUUUCCAGCUCACACUCUCAAACGCCUAGAUCCCCUGAACGCAGCUCACUCUCCAGGUCCCAAUCACCUGAACUCUAAUCAUCUGUUCACACAACCGUAUGUCAUUAUCACACACUAUUUAAUUAAGUUCUUUGCACCCCAUCACUGUGAGGUAUUGUUUGUUUUGUGACACAAUUCUUUCGGCGCUGUUUUUCCCGUGAUUUGAUAGUAUUUCCCGGACUAUGUUACUAGCCUUUUCCCUGCCUGUACUCUUGCCCUUUUGGACCCCCUAUGUAUGACCUUCUGCCUGCCCCUGGACUCAGCUACCUGCCUCCUUCUGUGGUCCUUCGCAAUAAACACCUGCGGCGCCCUGCACUUGAAACCA